GGGUAAAGCUGACUCCCUUAAUCUGAGGAUCAGAGUGGAGCUGUCAGCUGGAGCAGUGAGAUGGCUACUCUUACACUGGACAUGCAGCCGAUGUCCUGGAGACAAGAUCCAUCUUCUGAAAUUCAGUCCUGGUCUGCUUGGUGGCAUACUGCUGGCAUCUAAGGGCUUCGUUACGGGUGGAUUCUAACCUGGUGUAUAAAUGAAAGAAGUCUGCUCUAGGAUGGCCUGGCAGUCCAGGAGCUGGCAAGCAAGUCCUCUCAUUUGUCUCCUCUCUGGUCAUCUGGGAUGAGCUGGCGAAGCUGCAGCAGACUCUAAAGCCAAAGUCAGAUGCAGGCUGAGACGUGGAGGAUGGAGAUCUUUAAAAGAUGUGUUCACAUGCCUGGCCCAACUACAAUCAGACCUGACCACAGUGUAACAGCCAUGGGAGCUUGCCACAGCCUUCGAUAAACAGUUCUGACAGUA